UGGGGAAUCUUCCGCAAUGGACGAAAGUCUGACGGAGCAACGCCGCGUGAGUGAAGAAGGUUUUCGGAUCGUAAAACUCUGUCUUUUGGGGCGAACGUGAGUAUGGUGAACAAUCAUAGUCAGUGACGGUACCAAAGGAGGAAGCCACGGCUAACUACGUGCCAGCAGCCGCGGUAAUACGUAGGUGGCAAGCGUUGUCCGGAAUUAUUGGGCGUAAAGAGCGCGUAGGCGGGAUAGUCAGUCUGUUGUAAAAGUGCGGGGCUCAACCCCGUGAUGGCAAUGGAAACAGCUAUUCUUGAGUGCAGGAGAGGAAAGUGGAAUUCCCAGUGUAGCGGUGAAAUGCGUAGAUAUUGGGAGGAACACCAGUGGCGAAGGCGACUUUCUGGACUGUGUCUGACGCUGAGGCGCGAAAGCCAGGGGAGCGAACGGGAUUAGAUACCCCGGUAGUCCUGGCCGUAAACGAUGGGUACUAGGUGUGGGAGGUAUCGACCCCUUCCGUGCCGGAGUUAACGCAAUAAGUACCCCGCCUGGGGAGUACGGUCGCAAGACUGAAACUCAAAUGAAUUGACGGGGGUCAUAGCUGUUUCCUG
rnacentral:rRNA from 1 species